CCUACGGGGGGCUGCAGUAGGGAAUAUUGGACAAUGGGUGCAAGCCUGAUCCAGCCAUGCCGCGUGCAGGAAGAAGGCCUUCUGGGUUGUAAACUGCUUUUGCCAGGGGAUAAAAAGUCCCUGCGGGGAAAAUUGAAGGUACCUGGUGAAUAAGCCACGGCUAACUACGUGCCAGCAGCCGCGGUAAUACGUAGGUGGCAAGCGUUGUCCGGAUUUAUUGGGUUUAAAGGGUGCGUAGGCGGUCUAUUAAGUCAGUGCUGAAAUAUUCCCGCUCAACGGGAAGGGUGGCAUUGAUACUGAUGGACUUGAGUGCAGUCGAGGUAGGCGGAAUUGACGGUGUAGCGGUGAAAUGCUUAGAUAUCGUCAAGAACACCGAUAGUGUAGACAGCUUACUAGGCUGUAACUGACGCUGAGGCACGAAAGUGUGGGGAUCAAACAGG
rnacentral:rRNA from 1 species